AAAUUGAAGAGUUUGAUCAUGGCUCAGAUUGAACGCUGGCGGCAGGCCUAACACAUGCAAGUCGAACGGUAGCACAGAGAGCUUGCUCUCGGGUGACGAGUGGCGGACGGGUGAGUAAUGUCUGGGAAACUGCCCGAUGGAGGGGGAUAACUACUGGAAACGGUAGCUAAUACCGCAUAACGUCGCAAGACCAAAGUGGGGGACCUUCGGGCCUCACACCAUCGGAUGUGCCCAGAUGGGAUUAGCUAGUAGGUGGGGUAACGGCUCACCUAGGCGACGAUCCCUAGCUGGUCUGAGAGGAUGACCAGCCACACUGGAACUGAGACACGGUCCAGACUCCUACGGGAGGCAGCAGUGGGGAAUAUUGCACAAUGGGCGCAAGCCUGAUGCAGCCAUGCCG
rnacentral:rRNA from 1 species